rnacentral:lncRNA from 1 species
GGUUCCUCGAUGGUGACUUCAUUGGUGGGGGGUGUUGUAGGUAUUCUGCUCCUUCGAUCUCCAUGAGAAUCCAUGCACAAGGAGCAAAGAGAGGAGUAUGGGAGUCAUACUUGUCGUAGUUCGAUUUUGGGCCACAGUUUGGCUUCGUACUCUAUCGUUGAGGUGAAGCUUGCUUAUUAGAGGAUGGCUGACUUAAGUCAAUUGGAG